AUCUCGGUAGUCUAAAGGUUCAAGACGCUCGUACGGAAUGCAAGAGAUCCGGGUUCGACUCCCGGCCGAGGCA
rfam:Acromyrmex echinatior unplaced genomic scaffold scaffold383, whole genome shotgun sequence.